AAAGCGGAGUGAGCUGGCCAAACUCAAGUGCAAGUUCACGGGCUUUAUUGAGAGCUGUGUUCUCCCCCGUCUCGGGCCUUUUGUCCGCCGCAACAAUUGCUCUUUCUUCCUCUCCUGUACUUGGAGCUGCCUGGGAACCCCCAGCAUCAAACUUAAACCGCACUGUUGCAGUUUUGCGACUCAAAUUAUAUCCUCUUGGCGAAAUUUCCACCAUAAUCAUACGCGCGCUCCCGUUUCAGCCUCGAUUGGUAUCGAGUCACGAGGGAAAGACGCAACACAUGGUAGCAACACGGUGCCGGGAUGUUUACUUUUUUUUAAUUAACGCUGGGGCUGGGGGUGGGGGAGUUUGUAACUAUUCAGUAUCAGUGGAAAACUCGAAGUCUCUAAACUUUGAACAACUUUGACAAUGGGAUGAAAGCGAAGCCAUGAAGGGAUUGCCUUUACAUCUUGAAGAUAAGAUGGAUUUACAGUGAGCUGUGCGAAGUUGCAAUGCCCAACAGACUCGUUGGUGGAAUAGUUCACAUGUAUGCACUCUCAUCCCAAGGCAGGCAGAAGCCCAGCGACUGGCAUGACGGUACCAGGGAGCGGCCAGCUGAGACAGCAGCCCGGAAUGAAGGGACAAGUGCCGCACACAUCGAAUAAUUUAUGCAUCAAAGUCUGACAAAUAAAGGCAAAACGACCCUAGUUCCCCCCCCCCCCCCCUCCUCCCGAGAGAGACCCAAAACACCACCACUGCUGCAACUGAAUAUCUACUCCCUUCUACUCGUUAGCAAGGGCAAGGCAGAUGCAGAGAUAACUUCCGUGGACUCCAGCAGGCCUGUCGCGAUGCCGGCUCCUUUGACUCGUGUGUGCGAGGGGAGGGGGUGAGGGGAGGUGGAGGGGUUAAGUCAGUGAG